rnacentral:lncRNA from 1 species
CUCCCCCUCUCCCAAACCCCCUCCCUCGCGCGAACCCAACGUGAGCCAAUCGCGUACGCUUCUCUCUCCCUCGCGCAGAAACCCCCUAGACGCAAACGCAGGAGAGACAGAACCUCCCAGACGCGAAAUUAAUUCCCCAGAAAUCGUCAAAAUUCCCAAAACUCACGCGCAAGGAGUUCUCAGAAGAUGCCCAGCCUGGUUUGUCUUCUUCUUCGCGUGUCCCCGACGUCGCGCGUCUCCUUCCCUCUCUCUUCGCGCUCGUACGAGCGCACAGUGGAACAGUAGCCGUCCUCGCCUCAACAGCCUGGAAUCGUCCUGCUCGUCCUUGCAACAACGAGAUGAUGACACGAAGCGCGCAAGGACAACGAACGCAUCCCGACCCUCCACCUCGCCAUCAACCCGUUUGAAUGGGAUAUUCUGAAGCAUCUAAUCGGUACAUUCCAAAAUUUCGGAUAAGAUUUUGGGAUUUUUGAAUUUCGAAUUAGCAGAUGGGCCGAAAAUUCCCUCAAGCCCUUUUACCUUUCGAAAACCUAGCCUCCCUCUAUAAAUAUCCUCUCCCUCAAACGUUGAGGGGGUUGAAAAUUUUGGAAGUCGAAUUUUUGUUUGGAUUUUUUUCUUGUAUCACAGCAGGUCCUUUCCUUUCUGGAAAUUUUGGUUGUUUCUAAGUUCAUAUCGUAUAACAAAGCAAGUGUCCCGUCUCUCUUUUUUCGAAUUUUCUAUCGAGCUUCGAACGUGGAGAUAUUUGGAUCUACACAGUCUCUUUGCUUUUCAUCGCAUCUGUACUGCUCAUUGGAGCUCUUAAACUCGCGUCGUGGUGGAAGUCAUUGUUGAAGUCGCUGCUCGUAGCCGUUCCAGUAUCGCUGCCCAGGAAAAGGUAUACAACUUCGCUCCUCUUAGUUUUGUUUGGUUUUCUACUUGUUCGAGUAUGUAGUGGUUCGUUCAGUUGGUUAUGUCGUGCUGAUAGUUUUCUGAAGGAUGAUGGUUCUUUGUGUUUUAAGGCUGUUGGUUAGUUGUCUAUGGAAUAGGAGAUAAGCAUGUACGUGCAGUCAAUGUAUGUCUCGAGUUUACUUCCUAGUUCGAAUCUUAUUGUUCUUGGUAUAUUUUGGGUUUCAUAGCUACAUUCGGUAUAGUUUUUUUUAGAUCAUUCUUUCAUCUUGAUUUAUUUUUAUUCAUUGUGGUUCUUCAAUAUUGUUUGAUAUUCGGCAUCGUAUCGUUAUUUCUUUCGCCUCGAGUUUAAUGAGCGAACUAAGAUGCCAACAUUCUGAAUCUAAGCGACUGCAUCUGCUAUCGUUUUGAGUUCCCAUAUCGCAUAUUAUUGUUCAUGUUGGUACUUUGGGUUAGGCUGUCCUAUAGGGUUUGCUCGAUAAUGGUAUUACCUUCUGUUUGAUCUCUUAAUGUUGUAAAGUUGAGUUUCUUUCCGUUGAUUUAGAUUUCAUUUGUUUAUCCAUCAAGCCUUCAAAUAGGCCUUUGUCAGUAUGUUUUGUGGUUUCUCUGAACUUGUCGGUUAAGAAAGUAUGUUUGUUCAUAUGUGUUCUGUAUCUAUGUUAUAUAGUAAUUUCCUCGUUUUAUUUCUUCCAUAUGACAAAUGAGUCAGUUUGCUUAUUCGGAAUCUCGUUUAGAGUCCUGUUUGGUCCCAUUUCUGUUGUGCUCGCUAUCAUUCUUUAUGUUGGAGCUUUGGUAGUCUGUGUUGUUUCUUGCAACUACUCAUUACGGAAUACCAACUAGGCUUGUUCAAUGCCUUGUUUGGCUCCUGUGAGUUUGGCGUUUAUCGCUUUCAAAUUAUAAGUG